rnacentral:tRNA from 1 species
GCCGAUGUAGCUCAGCGGUAGAGCACUUCCUUGGUAAGGAAGGGGUCACGAGUCCAAUUCUCGUCAUCGGCU